UAAAUUUCGUUUUUCUGAGAUAUGUUUUCUUAUUUUGUCAAACACAGAAGGAUGAAAGCUUGACUUGAAACAGCCAUGAAUUAAGCCUGCAACCAUGAGGGGCACUAACUCACCAAGUUCUGUUAUGGAAAUAAAUACACGAAACACUGACCAUGAUAAGCUCAAGACGUCAGAACAUUUCUAACACCUCCCAGCAGUCUAUACCAGGGUUGCUGACAUGUAGGAUUGCCCAAAAUCCCAACAGACAUGUAGUUUGGAGGAAUGGACUUAAUUAAAACAAUGAUCUACCAUGAACAAGCCUUGAAGAAGUCAGACAGCCUCAGGUUCUAGAUAGUCUCUGGAACAAAGUCACACCUAGCUGGACAACACUGGAAUAGUAUACUGUCAAUGAGUCUCUGCAGUGGAAAGAAUAAAAUAUUACUUUCAUGAAAUACCUGUUGUCACAUAAAAACUGUUUUUUAAUAGAUAAACCUAUUGGUAUUCGUUUUGAAUUUUAAUAAAUAAUUAUAAAC